rnacentral:lncRNA from 1 species
CGUUCUAAAGACUCUAACUCAUAUGAAGUUUUAUCUAUAUAAAAAUAACUCACGUCGAACACAUAAUAAUUAUAAACAAGUAGGUAUUUAUCUUGAGUACUAUUCCAUCACAUAAAAUCCUAAAAACACCACAUGCAAGUCAAAAUAAUUAAAAAAGAAAAAAAAGAUAAAUUUACUGUAACGAAAAUUGUGAUCAAUUAAGUUGUUAAUAUUAUACGGC